UGGGUAGACUCUCCAUCAUUCGUUUGGUCGAUGGUAGUAGAAAUUGCUCGUCGGAUGUAAGUGGAUCUUUACCCACG
rnacentral:pre_miRNA from 1 species